rnacentral:rRNA from 1 species
UACGGAGGGUGCAAGCGUUAAUCGGAAUUACUGGGCGUAAAGCGCGUGUAGGCGGCCCUGCAAGUCGGAUGUGAAAUCCCACGGCUCAACCGUGGAAGUGCAUUCGAAACUGCAGGGCUAGAGUCCUGGAGAGGAAGGUGGAAUGCUUGGUGUAGAGGUGAAAUUCGUAGAUAUCAAGCGGAACACCGGUGGCGAAGGCGGCCUUCUGGACAGUGACUGACGCUGAGACGCGAAAGCGUGGGGAGCAAACAGG